UACGAAGGGGGCUAGCGUUUGCUCGGAAUCACUGGGCGGUAAAGGGCGCGUAGGCGGCUUUUCAAGUGAACCGGGUGAAAUCCCUCGGCUUAACCGAGGAACUGCCUGUCAGACUGGAAGGCUUGAGACCGGGAGAGGUGAGUGGAAUUCCCAGUGUAGCGGUGAAAUGCGUAGAUAUUGGGAGGAACACCAGUGGCGAAGGCGGCUCACUGGACCGGAACUGACGCUGAGGCGCGAAAAGCG
rnacentral:rRNA from 1 species